rnacentral:rRNA from 1 species
UACGGAGGGAGCUAGCGUUGUUCGGAAUUACUGGGCGUAAAGCGCGCGUAGGCGGCUUUGCAAGUUAGAGGUGAAAGCCCGGAGCUCAACUUCGGAAUUGCCUUUAAAACUGCAUCGCUUGAAUCCGGGAGAGGUGAGUGGAAUUCCGAGUGUAGAGGUGAAAUUCGUAGAUAUUCGCAAGAACACCAGUGGCGAAGGCGGCUCACUGGCCCGAUACUGACGCUGAGGCGCGAAAGCCAGGGGAGCAAACGGG